GGAGAAGAAAACUAUGGAUACCAUCAAAAUUAAUAAAGAUUCAGUUUGAAAAGGAGAAAACUCUUGAAAAAGAGAAAUGGCAGCUCAUCCACAAUGAUGACAACCAUACAGAUGGGAAAGAGAAGGCUGCAAGCUGACUCGAAAGCCUGAGCCAAUAAUUUUAGGAAUCUGCCUCAAGAUUCCUGCCUUGAGUUCCUGUCCUGAUUUCCUUCAGUGAUGAAUUGUGUCCUAAGAAUUGUAAGCAGAAAUUAACAAUUUCUUUUUCAUAUUGCUUGUGGUCAUUAUGUUUUAGUAGAGUAAUAGCAAACAUAAGUAAAACAACAACCUCACUCAAUGUCAA